UCAGUAAUGAAGAAAUUUCUGCUGCAAAUGGAAGAUGGCCAAUACUGUGGGUUACAGCAACUUCAUCAUUUAUAGUCUAGAAUCAAUUAAUUUGUAUUCACACAAUGUUCACCAAUUCCCGCUAAUAAUAUUGAAUGGCAUGGAAUAAACUAUGGGAGAAAAUUGCGCACGCUUGUGCUAUCUUAUAUUGCAUAACCAUCUAUUCAAAGAAGCCGCUAAUAAAAUAAGAGCAGUCAGUGUCUUUACUCGACAAGACAAUGGAAAAAAAUGAAGAUUUCUACGAAUGGAAGGGACAAAUAAUAGAUGCAUAAUUCUUCAGCUAUUCCUUCCUACUCGGUAAUUCAAUAACGUUGAAAAGCCUUCGUAGCGAAAUGUUCAACCACAAAAUGAAAUUACAGGAAGUCUAAAAAGAGUGAACAGCAUACAUCAGUAUUCCCUCGGAUGUUUUUUGAGUUAUGUGUUAAAUCACUUCUUAUGAUUGUUAUUUACCAAAACUUAUGUUUGGGUUAGUCAGUGAACUUGAAGAAGAAAGGUGCUUCGUCUGCGCUUCAUAGCUUAAAACUGCGUUAAUUCACACAUGGACCUCUUCAAAUGAGUUUGAUGAGUAACUUACCACUGAUGCAUUAUAGCAAACGGAACCAAACCUAAUCCAGACUUUUUUAUCAUUCCAUGAGGAGGGAACGAAAAACGUCCGUUUAUACCAUACAGCCCCCACAUGAUCUCUGACGCUCAGUUUAGUGGAAAUGUCGUUGUAGCUGGAUGGUACUGGCAUUAAAUUCAGAUCUACAUCAGUGGCCUGAAUAUGUAAAAAAAUAUUUAAAGCCUGUGAAAUUGAGUAUCUAAGGCUUACUUCUUCGAUUGUAGACACUAAACUUGCAUUCAUAGUAAA